CUCCUCUGCGAGCGUUAUUUCAAAAGAAGUUGAGAACCAGAGAAGCCGACCUAAGGGUAUUCUCCCAUUUGGCCCGUCCUCCCCUAAAGUCACCACCUGCUGCUUUUCUGGAGCGUUUACCAGUGACCAAGAGGAACAGAACACAGAGCAGCCUGGCAGUGUCCAAGCAACAAGCCUCCGCUCCUCCUUCCUGCACCCUGGGGCUCCUGCAACUCACCUGAGAAGGAGGGCUUUCUGAGAUUCGAGGGAAACAAGCUCUCAGGACUUCCGGUCGCCAUGAUGGCUGUGGGCGGUAAACACGCUUAGUGCAAGCAUCUGGGCCAUCUUCAAUGCACAGUGGAUCCAGUAGGAACACAGAUGCAUCCAAACUCAUUAGACUACAAGGACCACGGAAACUGUUGGUUGACAAUAGCAUACGGGAACUGCAAUACACAAAAACUGGAAUUUUUCUUCAGGCUGAGGCCUGUGUGACAAAUGAUACGGUAUACAGGGAGCUACCCCGUGUUUCUGAGAUCCGUUGUGACAUCUCACAUUUUUUCCAAGAUGAUGAUGAGACAGAGGCAGAGCCAUUAUUGUUCCGUGCUGUUCCUGAGUGUCAACUAUCUGGGGGGGACAUUCCCAGCGUAUCAGAAGAGCAGGAAUCUUCAGAGGGACAAGAUUCAGGAGACAUUUGCUCAGAAGAGAAUCAAAUAGUUUCCUCUUAUGCUUCUAAAGUCUGUUUUGAGAUCGAACAAGAUUAUAAAAAUCGUCAGUUUCUGGGGCCUGAAGGAAAUGUGGAUGUUGAGUUGAUUGAUAAGAGCACAAACACAUACAGUGUUUGGUUCCCCACUGCUGGCUGGUAUCUGUGGUCAGCCACAGGCCUUGGCUUCCUGGUAAGGGAUGCGGUCACAGUGACGAUUGCGUUUGGUUCCUGGAAUCAGCACCUGGCCCUGGACCUGCAGCACCAUGAACAGUGGCUGGUGGGCGGCCCCUUGUUUGAUGUCACUGCAGAGCCAGAGGAGGCUGUCGCCGAAAUCCACCUCCCCCACUUCAUCUCCCUGCAAGCAGGUGAGGUGGACGUCUCCUGGUUCCUCGUUGCCCAUUUUAAGGAUGAAGGGAUGGUCCUGGAGCAUCCAGCCCGGGUGGAGCCUUUCUAUGCCGUUCUGGAAAAGCCCAGCUUCUCUCUGAUGGGCAUCCUGCUGCGGAUCGCCAGUGGGACUCGCCUCUCUAUCCCCAUCACUUCCAACACAUUGAUCUAUUACCACCCGCACCCCGAAGAUAUUAAGUUCCACUUGUACCUUGUCCCCAGCGACGCCUUGCUAACGAAGAUGAUAGAUGAUGAGGAAGAUCGCUUCUGUGGUGUGCGUCUACAGACUUCACCCCCAGUGGAACCCCUGAACUUUGGUGCCCGUUAUAUUGUGUCUAAUUCUGCUCAUCUGGAAAUAAUACCCACGGAGUUGAAAUUGUCCUACAGGAGCCCUGGAGAAAUCCAGCACUUCUCAAAAUUCUAUGCUGGGCAGAUGAAAGAACCCAUUCAACUUGAAAUUACUGAAAAAAGACAUGAGACUUUGGUCUGGAAGACUGUGGUGAAGCCAGUGGAUAUCCAGCUUGGAGCUGCAUCAGCCCCUCCUGCCUUCUCAGGUGCAGCCUUUGUGAAGGAGAACCACCGGCAACUCCAAGCCAGGUUGGGGGACCUGAAAGGGGUGCUCGAUGAUCUCCAAGACAAUGAGGUUCUCACUGAGAAUGAGAAGGAGCUGGUGGAGCAGGCAAAGACACGGCAGAGCAAGAAUGACAUCCUGCUGACCAUGGUGGAGAAGAAAGGGGACCGGGCCCUGGAGCUGCUCUUCAGAAGCAUUAGUGAAAGGGACCCUUACCUCGUGUCCUAUCUUAGACAGCAGAAUUUGUAAAGUGAGUCAGUCAGAGAGUGUGGAAGAGAGAAUCCAGCGUUCUCAUUGGAAAUGAAUGAAUAGAAAUGCAUCCUUGAUUCCAGUGUCCAAAACAGAGAGGGGCUGGGUAACAUUUGCCCAUCACACAGGCUUUGGGGACAGAUACGUAACCUGGAAGAUACCCAUUGGCUGUAUCCCCAUGCCUUUCCCUCAAGAAUAUCUGAAGAAAAUAACAAUAGUGCUCUUAAUUUUUUUCUAACCGUGGCUCAAUUUGUGACUAUUCCGUCCAUUGACACGUUUCCUGAAGACCCGGGGUGAAGAAAGUCAAGGCAGUUGUGUUUGUGCAUGACAGGCUCUAGAAAGGAAAAUUCUCCUGAUUAACAUGAAAACUAGCUUUUAUGGACACUCUUUGAAGUCUCACCAUUCCACCACAAAAUACAGGAAAGCUAACAAAGUCUCUCAGUUGAAGAUAUCCAAGUACCCAGGAGGCGGACGUUCCAGUGAGCCCAGGUCGCACCACUGCACUCCAGCCUGGCGACAGAGCGAGACGUCAUCUCAAAAAAAAAAAAAAAAAAGAAAAGAAAAAGGAAAAAAAAAGAAAAACCCUUGGGAAAUUACUAUGUAUCUUGUACUUUUUUUUUUUCGAGUUCACAACUUCCUUUAAUAUGUGUUAUUCUUUUUUUUUAUUAUCAUACUUUAAGUCCUAGGGUACAUGUGCACAACAUGCAGAUUUGUUACAUAGGGAUACAUGUGCCAUGUUGGUUUGCUGCACCCAUCAACUCAUCAUUUACAUUAGGUAUUUCUCCUAGUGCUAUCCCUCCCCCACCCCCCACCCCACGACAGGCCCCAGUGUGCAAUGUUCCCCCUGCCCCCAGUGUCCAAGUGUUCUCAUUGUUCAGUUUCCACCUAUGAGUAAGAACAUGCAGUGUUUGGUUUUCUGUCCUUGCGAUAGUUUGCUGAGAAUGAUGGUUUCCAGUUUUAUCUAUGUCCCUGCAAAGGACAUGAGCUCAUCCUUUUUUAUGGCUGCAUAGUAUUCCAUGGUGUAUAUGUGCCACAUUUUGUUAAUCCAGUCUAUCACUGAUGGACAUUUGGGUUGGUUCCAAGUCUUUGCUAUUGUGAAUAGUGCCACAAUAAACAUACGUGUGCAUGUGUUUUUA